GAUAAAUUAUCUGCUUACGUUGUUGCUGUUUACUUUGCAUCUUUUUUAAUUUGAGAUCUCUAUAGUUAGAGUUUGCAACGAGAGGUAGAAUAUAAUACUGUGGAGUAUAUCGUAAACAAGAACAUUGGAACCCACAAUCUUGCAACGCUGGAAUUAAAUCUGCACGCGCAACUUGUUUAUGAAGUCAGGAGAAAGUUUAUUAUAAAAUACAUUAAAAUAAAAAAUAACAGUGAAAAGACAAUUGUACAUACAUAUACAUACCUAAGAGCAGCCAUAUAAGCAUUCUGUGCCUCUGUAACAUGAUCUUCGAGCAGAUACAUUUUCGCGAGAGCAAUCUUCUAAGUAUGCAUCUACUGCACGUUUGUGACUGCCCAUUAUUAAACUGUUCAACAAUAUUAGUAAGAAUAAUACAUUAAAAAAAAUUAGUCUUUAUUUUCUACGUCUUCGGAGAACUCGAUAA
rnacentral:misc_RNA from 1 species